AACACAAUAUCUCCUCUUUCAUUUUCCACUCUUUCAGGUUUUUUGACAUACUUCUACAGUGUACCAUGAUCAUUUUCAACAUUCUCAACUAGAUUAACAUUAACAUUCGCAUUAUUAUCAGAAUGAUUUAUUUUCCUAAAUUAUCAACAUAUAAAUUGUAAGAAUCAAUUUAAAGUAGUCGCAUAAAAAGUUACAAUUCAAAUUUAUGAGAUCAACAAAGCAACAUAAAAACAUAUAUAAAUAUAUUAUAAUCUAAAAUAUUCUAGACUACUAACAAUAAAAUUAUUAUAAUAUGCAAAAACAGAAAAGCAAAAGAAGCUUUUCGUUUGGAUUGAGAAAAGCAAAAGGGGACUGUAAUCAGUAAAGCAGAGGACUCUAACAAAAAGAACAAGAAAGCUUCAAGAAAGCAUGGAAUCCGAAACCCAGUUACUAGCAGAUGCAUAAGAUGCGAUGCAGCAGUAGCAAAUGGAGACGACAGGAGCAGUUGCCGAAGACGGUUCUGAUUGAUGUUUGAGGAAAAAUAGGAUACUCGUAUCCCAACAGUAAGGUACGCGUAUCCCAUCAGUCAACAACGUAUCUGUUGACUCGGAUACGUAUCAGUCGCGUAUCCGCACGUAUCGUCCUGCGUAUCCGUAUCCCUGCGUGUCAGAUACGGGAUACGUUGGUCUUCUCCCGUGUCCAUGCAUCAUAGCCUACCACCUUGCCCAGGUCGAUUCUAAACCUUCCAACAAAGGUGCGUCUUCCUCCUCAGUGGUCAGCGAGGUUAGUCGGUUUUGGGAUCGGCUAUGGUCUGCAAUGGUUCCUCCCAAAGUCAAAUCUGGUGUUUCCUCAAUAACUUUAUUCCCACCCGGGCUAAUAUGGGCCAUAGGCAUAUCACUACCGAUUCUCUGUGUGUUCAAUGCUCCCAUCCUUACGAAACAACGCUGCAUCUUUUGAAGGACUGCCCAUUUGCCAAAUGUGCGUGGUUAUUGUCUCCAUUGGGCAUUCCCAUUUGUGAUCGCAAUCCUCCCUCUCCACUGUGUUGGGCUAUGAAUGCCAUUGAUAACCUCCCAUCCUGGGGACUUAAGAUGUUUCUUAUGAUCUAUUGGUCUAUCUGGGGUGCUCGGAACACAAAAUUAUGGUCUGGCUCUUGUGAUUCUCCUGAUGUAAGCACUGCUCGGAGUAUCCACUGGUGGCAGGAAUUCAUUUCCCUCCCCAAAGCCAUCCCUCGUCUGUGCAUCCUCCACCUCCCCAUAAAUGGCUGGCACCUCCAUCCAGCAAACUGAAACUGAAUGUCGACGAUGCGUGGGAUGUGGAUAGGAAAUUGGGCGGUUAUGGCAGUGUUGUUCGUGAUGAUCGCGGCUGUUUUGUAGCGGCUAAAUGUGGUCAUUUUCCGAAUGUAUGCUCUCCUUUUCUUGCAACAGCUAUGGCUUUCCGCGCUCUUUUGGUUUGGUCGUCAGCCAGGGGUUUUCAUGAUUUAUUCAUUGAGUCAGAUUCCCCUCUAGAUUGUGGAGGCUUUGAAGGAUCUUUCCUUCAAUCUGUCCUUAAUCGGUCAGGUUGUUGAAGAUAUCAAGACCUUUCUCCCCUCAAUCACUGGAGCUUUACCCACCCACGCUCGAUGCCAAUCCAAUGGAGUUGCACGUCGGCUGGCUCGUGUAGGCAUCUCAUCCAGUCAUACUAGUGAAUGGCUGAUCACCCCCUACUGUAAUCCUUGAUUUACUUGUUGAGGAUUACUUGGCUCUUGUAACCCUUUAUAAGCUUACAAUCUGUUAUCAUUUCACUCAAAGGAAAAAAAAAAAAAAAAAAAAAAAAA